CUUAUUAAUCAUACCCCCCUUUAAACUGUUUAAUAAUCUGGAGGUAUAACCUAAUCACAUAUAAGAUGUUACAACAAAAUAUUGUUUUCCACUAUACUUUAGCAAUAGCAGCCAUCUUGUCUUAACACUGGCACCAUUUUGUCACAUGAAACAAACUACAAAAAACAUAUAUUGUUUCCUUCAUCAAAUGUAUUUGUAAAUCUAGGUUUUAUUCUAUCAAAACUUUUGUCUUCUAUAUAAUCAAAACAUAUGUAUGUCCAGGCUUUGCAAAAU